rnacentral:lncRNA from 1 species
AAAGAAAAUCUAUCAAGCUAUUGAUUAAAUGUGCAGGCUCAAGCCCUCCCUGGGGAAGGGAGGUCCACUGAGGAAUGCAGGAUGGGGAUUUUAGCUUGCAGCACAUGCCUCAGCUCCUCUUGCCUCAGUUUCCUUGCUUUGUAAAGGGACAGAUGCAUAGUUCUCUGGGGACUUGAGUAGAAAAUCCUGCUUAUGUAUCAUUAACUGAAUGAAUUUAAGCCUCCUUCUGGCAAUGAGAAACUGUGAGUACUGGCUCAAAUUUAGUGUGAGAACAAUUUCUCCUUAAAUUUUCCAGAACCUAUGACUGAGGGCUAGAAAAGAGCACUCCUUUUGCUACACUGAGAUAUCCUAUCCUCUUCUUCACCGAUCCUCCCCCUCCUCCUCAUCAUGGUCAUCAUUCCUGGCAUCUUCAGCUCCAUGGUCUGUGGCCACAGCCAUGACUCCCCAGCAUUGCCUGUACCUUGCGAAGCAACCCCCUUGGGUUGCUCUGAAGAGCAUUUGUCAUGUCUCCUGGCCCGCAUCACUGCCUAUGCCUGCCACCCAUGGAGCUCCUUGCAGGAGGCUUAUUGCUGCCUUGGCCUCAAGUACCCAUGGAAAGAAGUCCCGUGUCUGUGCAGAUGAGCCAAGUGCUCCCGAGGCCACCAGCCAGGUGGAAGGGGUGCCAGAGAGGUGUUGGGAUCUGGGCUAAGGCAAAAGAAUGACCCAGUGCCAGUCUCCCCUGACCCAGUGCCAGUCUCCAUUGGUUGGCCCCUAACUGUGUUUCUUGUUUCCAGACUCAUAGCAUUUCUAGCAAAGAUCUGUCUUUCUCUGGCUUUCCCACUAACCACCAAGAGUCCCCCUCAACCACCUCUCUGUACUCCCAGUUCUCAGUUAAACCCAAACUCCUACCUCUUCUUUCUACCUCUCGAGUCUAGAUAAAAGCUCCAUCUGCAUCAAUUCAGACACAUAACCCCAGUGGGAUUGCACUGUCUACACUGGCAGCAUCCAGGGAGGCUCUGUAGACUUCUAGCAAACAAAGUCAAAAAAUUGGUAGUCCUUAAAGUUCCUUGAAUAGGAAGAAGUUGUUUUCUGAACAAGCAAUCAGAAAACCUGCACAGAUAAGUUGAUUUAUGGGACAAUGAGGUAGAGUAUUUGUAAUUAGGAGUUUCCCAGAAAAUUCUGAAUACUGGAUUCAUGCAGCUGAAAAUCUUGACUACUCCAGGGAAGGAACUAGGCUAAGGCAUGCUUGGAGAAUGGGCUGAGUUUGGACACAGCGAGCCUUAAGACAACACCAAUGAUGUUGACAUGCUGACAACAUAUGGUCAUCAGCUACAUGCCAGAUACUGUAGGAGGCACUGUGUGUAUGUUAACACCAACCUUGGUAAAACUGUCACAGAGCUAGGACCAUCUUCAUAUGAAGCUCAGUGAAGUGAUUUGCCCAAAGACACACUGCCAACAUAGGGUGUUGAUGUGAUCUGUUUUGAUAAGUUACAAAGCUGGGGUGCUUGUCACAUAGCCACAUGCGAAGGACAUGUCCUGGCCGCCUGGAUCCCUUUCAUGGUCCAGGUCAUUGUCCCAGGACCAUGUGG